rnacentral:rRNA from 1 species
UACGAAGGGGACUAGCGUUGUUCGGAAUCACUGGGCGUAAAGCGCACGUAGGCGGAUGUGUCAGUCAGGGGUGAAAUCCCGGGGCUCAACCUCGGAACUGCCUUUGAUACAGCACGUCUCGAGUCCGGAAGAGGUGGGUGGAAUUCCUAGUGUAGAGGUGAAAUUCGUAGAUAUUAGGAAGAACACCGGUGGCGAAGGCGGCCCACUGGUCCGGUACUGACGCUCAUGCACGAAAGCGUGGGGAGCAAACAGG